rnacentral:rRNA from 1 species
UGAGGAAUCUUGCGCAAUGGGGGAAACCCUGACGCAGCAACGCCGCGUAAGUGAGGAAGGUCUUCGGAUCGUAAAGCUCUGUCAGUUGGAAAGAAAUGUCUGAGAGUCAAUCCCUUUCAGGCUUGACGGUACCAACAGAGGAAGCACCGGCUAACUCCGUGCCAGCAGCCGCGGUAAUACGGGGGGUGCAAGCGUUGUUCGGAAUUAUUGGGCGUAAAGAGCGUGUAGGCGGCCGGAUAUGUCAGAUGUGAAAGCCCCGGGCUUAACCCGGGAAGUGCAUUUGAAACUGCCCGGCUCGAGUAGGGGAGAGGGAAGUGGAAUUCCUGGUGUAGAGGUGAAAUUCGUAGAUAUCAGGAGGAACACCGGUGGCGAAGGCGACUUCCUGGCCCUAUACUGACGCUGAGACGCGAGAGCGUGGGUAGCAAACAG